rnacentral:rRNA from 1 species
CUACGGGAGGCAGCAGUAGGGAAUAUUGGUAAUGUGCGAAAGCGCGAACCAGCAACGCCGCGUGUGCGAAGAAGGCCUUCGGGUCGUAAAGCACUUUUCGGGAGGAAGAGGAAGGACUGUACUCCCGGAAUAAGUCUCGGCUAACUACGUGCCAGCAGCCGCGGUAAUACGUAGGAGGCAAACGUUAUCCGGAUUUACUGGGCGUAAAGCGCGUGUAGGCGGUUUGAUAAGUUGGACGUGAAAGCUCCUGGCUCAACUGGGAGAGGUCGUUCAAUACUGUUAGACUUGAGGAUGGUAGAGGGAGGUGGAAUUCCGGGUGUAGUGGUGAAAUGCGCAGAUAUCCGGAGGAACACCAGUGGCGAAAGCGGCCUCCUGGACCACUCCUGACGCUCAGACGCGAGAGCUAGGGUAGCAAACGGGAUUAGAAGCCCGUGUAGUCC